GUGCUCGUUUCAGCAGCCCAUGUACUAAAAUUGGAACAAUACAGAGAUUAACAUGCCUUCUGCACAAGGAUGAUACUCAAACUCAUGAGGUGCUCCAUAUGAAA
rfam:Canis lupus familiaris chromosome 32, whole genome shotgun sequence.